ACGAUAACGAACGAGACCUCGACCUGCUAAAUAGUUCUACCAAGGAAUUCUCCUUGGGUUGGGGACUUCUUAGAGGGACUAUCGGUGUGUAGCCGACGGAAGUUCGAGGCAAUAACAGGUCUGUGAUGCCCUUCGAUGUUCUGGGCCGCACGCGCGCUACACUGAUGCAUGCAUCGAGUUUACAACCUGGACCGAUAGGUCUGGGUAAUCUUUGCAACCUGCAUCGUGCUGGGGAUAGAUGAUUGUAAUUAUUCAUCUUCAACGAGGAAUUCCUAGUAAACGCAAGUCAUCAACUUGCAUUGAUUACGUCCCUGCCCUUUGUACACACCGCCCGUCGCUAGUACCGAUUGAAUGGAUA
rnacentral:rRNA from 1 species